rnacentral:rRNA from 1 species
CGCAGCGAAAUGCGAUACGUAGUGUGAAUUGCAGAAUUCCGCGAAUCAUCGAGUCUUUGAACGCAAGUUGCGCCCGAGGCUUGUCCGAGGGCAUUUCCGCUAGAGCGUCACC